rnacentral:misc_RNA from 1 species
UACGGAGGGUGCAAACGUUGCUCGGAAUCAUUGGGCGUAAAGCGCACGUAGGCGGCCUGCCAAGUCGGAUGUGAAAGCCCUGGGCUCAACCCAGGAAGUGCACCCGAAACUGGCAGGCUUGAAUGCCGGAGGGGCCCAGAGAAUUCCCGGUGUAGAGGUGAAAUUCGUAGAUAUCGGGAGGAAUACCAGUGGCGAAGGCGCUGGGCUGGACGGUUAUUGACGCUGAGGUGCGAAAGCGUGGGGAGCAAACAGG